rnacentral:tRNA from 1 species
GGGGUUGUGGCUCAGCGGUAGAGCACUCGCCUGGCACGUGUGGGGCCUUCAGUUCGAUCCUCAGCACCACA